AGAGCAUUGAGAGGACCUUUUCCUAGUAGAAAGGAUUGGGAAGAACGCACCACUGGUGUACCAAUUAUUAUGCCCACGGUAAAUACUGAGUACCCAAGUGUGAAGCGGAUAACUGUUGAAAACAUCUAAGUAGUAAGCCCACCCAAGAUAGUGCUCU
rnacentral:ncRNA from 1 species